CAGUAGCCGCGGGAAUACGGAGGGAGCUAGCGUUGUUCGGAAUUACUGGGCGUAAAGCGCGCGUAGGCGGUUACUCAAGUCAGAGGUGAAAGCCCGGGGCUCAACCCCGGAACUGCCUUUGAUACUAGGUGACUAGAAUCUUGGAGAGGUCAGUGGAAUUCCGAGUGUAGAGGUGAAAUUCGUAGAUAUUCGGAAGAACACCAGUGGCGAAGGCGACUGACUGGACAAGUAUUGACGCUGAGGUGCGAAAGCGUGGGGAGCAAACAGGAUUAGAUACCCGAGUAGUCCCUGUCUCUUAUAC
rnacentral:rRNA from 1 species